UGCCAUACCCGGACGGGGUUUAUGGCCGAUCGAGAAAGGUCAUGGCCUAGGUUAGUGAUCUUCAUUGCACUUGGGAGGAGCACUAGCCUAUCAUCUUCUCUUUGUGGUAGAGGGGGUAGGAGUUCAUGCGGGCGUGUUUGAGACUUUUUCUUUUC
rnacentral:snRNA from 15 species